rnacentral:tRNA from 1 species
GCCAGUGUGAUGUAGUGGUUUGAGUGCUGGACUAUGACUCUGGAGACCUGGGUUCAAUUCCCAGCUUGGCCA